UCCCUGGUGGUCUAGAGGCUAAGGAUCCUGUGCUCUCACUGCCGUAGCCUGGGCUCAAUUCCCAGGCAGGGAA
rnacentral:tRNA from 1 species